GCUCUCGGAAACAUAAAGGUUUGACUCACAGUCUGGCAGACAGUCACAGGGAAAGCUGACUGUAUGACGUACAAUAGAGAGCGGAGAAUCCAAAUUGGCCAUAGCGCGAGAAUAAAGACCUGAAAAAGUAACGAUACUAUUUAAAUGUAAAACCCCACAGACCUUGACUGUACCGUUGUUAGCUACGUAGGCGGGAAGGCAACCACAAUUGUUCAGAGUCAUCCGCAUUCUGCACUCGAACAUGCAGUUGAUGAAGGAAUAACGCCUAAGUCCAUCCAACUGUCGUUCACUGCCAAACAGACAAUUCCUCGACUUCAAGUCCAUGCGUCGUAUAUCGCUAGUGGCAUAUGUCGACUCUGGAUUGAUGCGUACGAAACUUUCCCGUGUUGAAGUGACCACCUUGGUUUCCGAGUUCUCAUCCGGAAAAUUAUGGGCGUUAUGUAUGAGCAGGCGGAACCCAAAGCCGCUAAAGAAUGUACCAUAAUAAUCAGAGACCAUUGGAUCAAGCAGCACUGAUAGUCCAGUUGGAUAACCACAGCCUGUGACACGAUACGGCCGUUUUGGCACCUGAUAAGCAAUUUUCCUGUGAAAUAGAAAGUUGGUGAGUUUUUGUCGAUGGAGCGUUACAUACGAUUCAGGCUAAACCCACUACAUAUUUUUGUAUCUUUGAAAAUAAUCAAUUGGGUAGACCUUGUAGAUUUAAAAGAUAAUUUUAUUUAAAA